UACAGAGGUCUCAAGCGUUGUUCGGAUUCAUUGGGCGUAAAGGGUGCGUAGGCGGCGCGGUAAGUCGGAUGUGAAAUCUCGGAGCUUAACUUCGAAACUGCAUUCGAUACUGCCGUGCUUGAGGACUGGAGAGGAGACUGGAAUUUACGGUGUAGCGGUGAAAUGCGUAGAUAUCGUAAGGAAGACCAGUGGCGAAGGCGGGUCUCUGGGCCGGAACUGACGCUGAGGAGCGAAAGCGUGGGGAGCGAACAGG
rnacentral:rRNA from 1 species